ACUAGGAUUAGAUACCCUAUUAUUUAAAAUGUAAUUAUAAACACUAAGGUAGUAGUAGCUAUGUUCUUGAAACUUAAAAAAUUUGGCGGUAUUUUAGUCUAUUCAGAGGAACCUGUCCUGUAAUUGAUAAUCCACGAUGAACCUCGCUUGAAUUUGUUUUUCAGUUUAUAUACCGUCGUUAUCAGAAUAUUUUAUUAGAAAAAUAAUUUUCUAUAAUUUUUAUAAGAAUGUAUAUCAGAUCAAGGUGUAGCUUAUGUUUAAGUAGAGAUGGGUUACAAUAAAUUUAUUUAGACAGAUCUAAUUUUGAAAUAUUUUAGUGAAGGUGGAUUUGAUAGUAAAAUUUUAAAGAUUGUUAAUUUGAUUUUAGCUCUAGAAUAUGCACACAUCGCCCGUCGCUCUUACUAUUAAGGUAAGAUAAGUCGUAACAUAGUA
rnacentral:rRNA from 1 species